UAGGGAAUCUUCCACAAUGGACGAAAGUCUGAUGGAGCAACGCCGCGUGAGUGAAGAAGGGUUUCGGCUCGUAAAGCUCGGUUGGUAGUGAAGAAAGAUAGAGGUAGUAACUGGCCUUUAUUUGACGGUAAUUACUUAGAAAGUCACGGCUAACUACGUGCC
rnacentral:rRNA from 1 species